ensembl:snRNA U2 U2 spliceosomal RNA
AUUGCUUCUCGCCUUUUUGGCUAAGGCCAAGUAUAGUACCUGUUCUUACCAGUUUAACAUCAAAUGUUUCCAGAAACCAUGGAGGUAUAUUUUAUAAUUGUAAAAGAUCAGACUAU